rnacentral:rRNA from 1 species
ACUAAGCGUACACGGUGGAUGCCCUGGCAGUCAGAGGCGAUGAAGGACGUGCUAAUCUGCGAUAAGCGUCGGUGAGGUGAUAUGAACCGUUAUAACCGGCGAUUUCCGAAUGGGGAAACCCAGUGUGUUUCGACACACUAUCAUUAACUGAAUCCAUAGGUUAAUGAGGCGAACCGGGGGAACUGAAACAUCUAAGUACCCCGAGGAAAAGAAAUCAACCGAGAUUCCCCCAGUAGCGGCGAGCGAACGGGGAGGAGCCCAGAGCCUGAAUCAGUGUGUGUGUUAGUGGAAGCGUCUGGAAAGGCGUGCGAUACAGGGUGACAGCCCCGUACACAAAAAUGCACAUAUUGUGAGCUCGAUGAGUAGGGCGGGACACGUGGUAUCCUGUCUGAAUAUGGGGGGACCAUCCUCCAAGGCUAAAUACUCCUGACUGACCGAUAGUGAACCAGUACCGUGAGGGAAAGGCGAAAAGAACCCCGGCGAGGGGAGUGAAAAAGAACCUGAAACCGUGUACGUACAAGCAGUGGGAGCCUCUUAAUGGGGUGACUGCGUACCUUUUGUAUAAUGGGUCAGCGACUUAUAUUCUGUAGCAAGGUUAACCGAAUAGGGGAGCCGAAGGGAAACCGAGUCUUAACUGGGCGUUAAGUUGCAGGGUAUAGACCCGAAACCCGGUGAUCUAGCCAUGGGCAGGUUGAAGGUUGGGUAACACUAACUGGAGGACCGAACCGACUAAUGUUGAAAAAUUAGCGGAUGACUUGUGGCUGGGGGUGAAAGGCCAAUCAAACCGGGAGAUAGCUGGUUCUCCCCGAAAGCUAUUUAGGUAGCGCCUCGUGAAUUCAUCUCCGGGGGUAGAGCACUGUUUCGGCAAGGGGGUCAUCCCGACUUACCAACCCGAUGCAAACUGCGAAUACCGGAGAAUGUUAUCACGGGAGACACACGGCGGGUGCUAACGUCCGUCGUGAAGAGGGAAACAACCCAGACCGCCAGCUAAGGUCCCAAAGUCAUGGUUAAGUGGGAAACGAUGUGGGAAGGCCCAGACAGCCAGGAUGUUGGCUUAGAAGCAGCCAUCAUUUAAAGAAAGCGUAAUAGCUCACUGGUCGAGUCGGCCUGCGCGGAAGAUGUAACGGGGCUAAACCAUGCACCGAAGCUGCGGCAGCGACGCUUAUGCGUUGUUGGGUAGGGGAGCGUUCUGUAAGCCUGUGAAGGUGGCCUGUGAGGGUUGCUGGAGGUAUCAGAAGUGCGAAUGCUGACAUAAGUAACGAUAAAGCGGGUGAAAAGCCCGCUCGCCGGAAGACCAAGGGUUCCUGUCCAACGUUAAUCGGGGCAGGGUGAGUCGACCCCUAAGGCGAGGCCGAAAGGCGUAGUCGAUGGGAAACAGGUUAAUAUUCCUGUACUUGGUGUUACUGCGAAGGGGGGACGGAGAAGGCUAUGUUGGCCGGGCGACGGUUGUCCCGGUUUAAGCGUGUAGGCUGGUUUUCCAGGCAAAUCCGGAAAAUCAAGGCUGAGGCGUGAUGACGAGGCACUACGGUGCUGAAGCGACAAAUGCCCUGCUUCCAGGAAAAGCCUCUAAGCAUCAGGUAACAUCAAAUCGUACCCCAAACCGACACAGGUGGUCAGGUAGAGAAUACCAAGGCGCUUGAGAGAACUCGGGUGAAGGAACUAGGCAAAAUGGUGCCGUAACUUCGGGAGAAGGCACGCUGAUAUGUAGGUGAAGCGACUUGCUCGUGGAGCUGAAAUCAGUCGAAGAUACCAGCUGGCUGCAACUGUUUAUUAAAAACACAGCACUGUGCAAACACGAAAGUGGACGUAUACGGUGUGACGCCUGCCCGGUGCCGGAAGGUUAAUUGAUGGGGUUAGCGGUAACGCGAAGCUCUUGAUCGAAGCCCCGGUAAACGGCGGCCGUAACUAUAACGGUCCUAAGGUAGCGAAAUUCCUUGUCGGGUAAGUUCCGACCUGCACGAAUGGCGUAAUGAUGGCCAGGCUGUCUCCACCCGAGACUCAGUGAAAUUGAACUCGCUGUGAAGAUGCAGUGUACCCGCGGCAAGACGGAAAGACCCCGUGAACCUUUACUAUAGCUUGACACUGAACAUUGAGCCUUGAUGUGUAGGAUAGGUGGGAGGCUUUGAAGUGUGGACGCCAGUCUGCAUGGAGCCGACCUUGAAAUACCACCCUUUAAUGUUUGAUGUUCUAACGUGGGCCCCUUACCGGGGUUGCGGACAGUGUCUGGUGGGUAGUUUGACUGGGGCGGUCUCCUCCUAAAGAGUAACGGAGGAGCACGAAGGUUGGCUAAUCCUGGUCGGACAUCAGGAGGUUAGUGCAAUGGCAUAAGCCAGCUUGACUGCGAGCGUGACGGCGCGAGCAGGUGCGAAAGCAGGUCAUAGUGAUCCGGUGGUUCUGAAUGGAAGGGCCAUCGCUCAACGGAUAAAAGGUACUCCGGGGAUAACAGGCUGAUACCGCCCAAGAGUUCAUAUCGACGGCGGUGUUUGGCACCUCGAUGUCGGCUCAUCACAUCCUGGGGCUGAAGUAGGUCCCAAGGGUAUGGCUGUUCGCCAUUUAAAGUGGUACGCGAGCUGGGUUUAGAACGUCGUGAGACAGUUCGGUCCCUAUCUGCCGUGGGCGCUGGAGAACUGAGGGGGGCUGCUCCUAGUACGAGAGGACCGGAGUGGACGCAUCACUGGUGUUCGGGUUGUCAUGCCAAUGGCACUGCCCGGUAGCUAAAUGCGGAAGAGAUAAGUGCUGAAAGCAUCUAAGCACGAAACUUGCCCCGAGAUGAGUUCUCCCUGAGACUUAGAGUCUCCUGAAGGAACGUUGAAGACGACGACGUUGAUAGGCCGGGUGUGUAAGCGCAGCGAUGCGUUGAGCUAACCGGUACUAAUGAACCGUGAGGCUUAACC